UGAUAGGUGUCCCUGGCCACGUCAGUGGAGC
rnacentral:piRNA from 1 species